rnacentral:sRNA from 1 species
UGACUGAGGAUAUUUGAAUAAAAUCG